GCCUACGGGGGGCAGCAGUAGGGAAUCUUCCACAAUGGGCGAAAGCCUGAUGGAGCAACGCCGCGUUGGUGAAGAAGGUCUUCGGAUCGUAAAACCCUGUUGUUAGAGAAGAAAGUGCGUGAGAGUAACUGUUCACAUUUCGACGGUAUCUAACCAGAAAGCCACGGCUAACUACGUGCCAGCAGCCGCGGUAAUACGUAGGUGGCAAGCGUUAUCCGGAUUUAUUGGGCGUAAAGGGAACGCAGGCGGUCUUUUAAGUCUGAUGUGAAAGCCUUCUGCUUAACCUGAGUAGGGCAUUGGAAACU
rnacentral:rRNA from 1 species